rnacentral:tRNA from 1 species
GGGGAUUUAGCUCAGUGCUAGAGCGCUUGCCUAGCAAGCGCAAGGCCCUGGGCUGGGGGGGGGGGGGGGGCGACUGCUCUUCCAGAGGUCCUCAGUCAAUUCCCA